rnacentral:telomerase_RNA from 1 species
CUCUUCCCAAAUUUUCAACAACGCCACCAGACUGCCCUUGCAAUGUCCAUCACUUGGAAUCGUCUCGGCCCGACGCACCCCAGGCCAAUGAAGCUUGCUCGAGAUGAAGCCGCCGUCACUUCUGGUCGACUGUCGCAAUGAGGAUACCGCAUUGCCAAUUCGACGCGCGUCCACGCCAUCUCUUUCGCCCACCCAUCCUCCGAGCACGUCGCCUCCCCCACAGUUCUCCGAUUCCAGUUUUCCGAAAGGAAUGCCCUCGUGGCCGCUACCUUUGAACUGGACAACCACAGUGCGUCGUAGCUUGGAUCCUGUAUCAGGUGCCUACCAAGCUUGCCGCGGUUGGAUGACUGUGGUCGAUUCCUGUCACCCCAGACAGGCCAGUUUCUCGGGUGGUGAAUUGGUCUCGGAACUUAACCCUAAUCAUUCCUUUGGUUCCAAGUCUUGCGCUCCAUAGUCAUUCCGAGCGCCUUCUAGUCUCACGUCGGCCGGGGUUGGGUCAGUGCCGCUGAAAAGUGGUAUGGCCUUGCCUCUGCGUUGGACAACGGGAUGACCGGCGCGAGGAGUUCCAGUCACCGUGUGUGGGCAACGAUCCCUUCCCAUGAGUCAAUACCGGUAAGAGUCCCUGGGGACCGCUCGUCGGGAUUGGACGCUGGAAGUACGACUCUGGUCACGAUGGGAUAGCUCGCGGCGAUGUCCGCUGGUCGACGUCCUGCCGGACGCAUGAGCCUUUGGCGGAUACAUUUGGCAGCUUGCUGCUGCAUGCACGCUAUGCUAUCAUCUGCUUACGCAGGCAGCCACGGAACAAGAGGGAGAGCGCAGUCGGCUACACACGGUCAUCCGGACGUUUCUCUCUUGUCGGCAGUCUGCCUUGUGGCUCCAAGGGCUGUUCGACUCCAACGGAAAUGUUACAACGGAUGAUUUCUUUUCGCCUCACUGUCUGGCUCUCGGUACCCUCGCGUUCCUACCCUCUAUCGCAUGCGUAUCUUACCUCGCCAGCCAGCCGACUCCCACGAGCCGUGCGAGGUCUUAGGAUCCGCGCGUCAUCGGGCCUUGAGGCCGAUGAGAUCCCGACCAGGCGCAUUAACUCGUCCUCGUAGGCGACGGCCCUACGAUACGACGGGACGCCAAAAAAUCUGUGUGCCUGAUUCUUCCCGCCGAAAGGUGACGAGGCAUCAGCGCAUUCAAUCAUUCCUCCGCCCACCUAGGUUGUACUCCUGGGUCUGGGGUCUGGAGAUGACAGCGCGGUUUUUUCGGAUGUCUUUUGUCCGUGCGGUAACUCGCCCUCCUGUACGUCCUUCCGCCGCCAAAGGGCCGCGGCUACGGGAGAGGAAACAAAAACUAGUCCUUGUUGGCAGUGCAGUACAUACGGAAAGAUUUGGCGCUUGUCGUUGCUCGAGCUGCUGGUGAUGCCGGUCCCAGUGCGAACGUGACGUUUUGAUGCGCUUCAUCGAUGACAACGGGCUUCAUUUCAAUGGCUGGCGUUUUCAACGCCGAAGGCCUUGACAUAUGUUGCGAGUUUCCGUCUGGUGGCUCCAAGGCAACCGCAAUUGGAACAAGUGCCUAUAUCUACCCUUUGACAACGGGCGGUGGCAUAAGAAGCGAGAACCAGGUCUGGGACCCAUCUUGAGUUGGUGUCAAAGCUUCGCGCUUGUCUGGACCUGGAAACUCUGGUGGAUUAUGUCCCAUCUGGAGUCGGGGAUUCGAGAAGGAUUUGCUGUGUUCCUGAUUUGCAGGCUUGCCAUAUAUUUUUGGAACUUUUGGGCAGAUUUAUCGCCCUUGGUUGUCCUCUCAUUUCCCUUGAGGGAAUCGGGAGGGCAACCCCUCUCUUUGAGAGG